GGGGAAAAAUUAAUAAAUUUGUAUUUUAAUAAAAUUAAUUUUAAUUUAUAUAAUAUUUAAUGGGGGUUAAAGUAUUAUUUAAAGAAAAAAUUUAAAAUUUUAUAGAUUAAUAGUAUUGUAAAAUAAAUUUGAAAUAAUUGAAAAUAAAUUUGUUUAAAAGUAAUUUUCGUUUAUUGUAUCUUGUGUAUCAGAGUUUAUUUAAAAUUUUUAAUUUAAUUUUAAUUUCUCGAAUUUAAAAGAGUUAAAUAAUUAUUAAAGUUAUUGUAGCAAAACUAUUUUAAAUAAUUAUUUUGAAAUGAAAUGUUAAUCGUUUUUAAAUAUAUCUAGUUUUUUUAGAAAAAAAUUUAAUUUUAAAUUUUUUUUCAUGAUUUAAUUAAUUAAUUAAUUAAGUUAUAAUUAAAUUUUAUAUUUUAAGGGAUAAGCUUUAAAAAUUAAAUUUUUAUAAUAAAAUAAUUUUUUAUUUUGAAAAUUUUAUAAUUUGUAUUGUUAAUAAAUUUUAAUUUAUUAUAAAUAAUUUCAUUUUUUUUUAAAAUUUAAUGUUUUAUUUAAAUUUUUAUAAAAAAAUAAUUUUUAAUUAUAAAAUUUUAGGUAUAAUGAUAAAAUUAGUAUAUAUUAUUUAAUUUAUUAGUUUUAAAUUGAUGUUAUUUUAAUUUAAUUAAUUAAAAGGAAUUCGGCAAAUAUUUAUUUUCACUUGUUUAUCAAAAACAUGUCUUUUUGUGGUUUAUUUAAAGUCUAAUCUGCCCACUGAUUUAAAAUUAAAGGGCUGCAGUAUUUUGACUGUACAAAGGUAGCAUAAUCAUUAGUCUCUUAAUUGGUGACUUGUAUGAAAGAUUGAAUGAGAAAUAUACUGUCUCUUAAUUAAUUUAUAGAACUUAAUUUUUUAUUUAAAAAGUUAAAAUGAAUUAAAAAGACGAGAAGACCCUAUAGAGUUUAACAUUUAUUUUAUUAGUUAAAUUAUUUGUUUGUAUUUAAUUUUUAGUAAAUGAAAUGUUUUGUUGGGGUGAUAAAAAAAUAUAUUUAACUUUUUUUAAAAAAUUAACAUAAAUAAGUGGUUAGUUGAUCCAAUUUUAUUGAUUAUAAGAUUAAAUUACCUUAGGGAUAACAGCGUAAUUUUUUUUUUUAGUUCAAAUAAAAAAAAAAGUUUGCGACCUCGAUGUUGGAUUAAGAUAAAAUUUAAAUGCAAAAGUUUAAAAUUUUUGAUCUGUUCGAUCAUUAAAAUCUUACAUGAUCUGAGUUCAAACCGGUGUGAGCCAGGUUGGUUUCUAUCUUUUAAAAAAUUAAAUAUUUUAGUACGAAAGGAUCGAGUAUUUUAAUUAAAUUAUUUAUAUUUGAAUUUUAUUAAAUUAAAAAAAAUUUUAAAAAAUUUAUUGAAUUUAUUAUUUUAUG
rnacentral:rRNA from 1 species